rnacentral:rRNA from 1 species
UACGUAUGGAGCUAGCGUUAUCCGGAUUUACUGGGUGUAGAGGGAGCGUAGGCGGCAGAUCAAGUCUGAAGUGAAAUCCCCGGGCUCGACCCGGGAACUGCUUUGGAAACUGGUUUGCUAGAGUGUCGGAGAGGCAAGCGGAAUUCCUAGUGUAGCGGUGAAAUGCGUAGAUAUUAGGAGGAACACCAGUGGCGAAGGCGGCUUGCUGGACGAUUACUGACGCCGAGACUCGAAAGCGUGGGGAGCAAAC